AGCAAGAAACUCGGGAAAUGUCUGUCAUUCAGAACAGAGUCUCGGUUCAUACUAGGGAUGAUCCUGAGUCACAUUCCUACAACACCUGAUGCAGAGUAGGGGCUAAAAAUAUCUGAGGAAAGAAGGCAUACACUUUCGUGGUGACCAUGUGCUAGUCAUGUACUUCGUGGAGCUCACAGAAGCUAAGUUUGGCUGUGUCCAUGGAGAGCUCUGAAGAGCUUUAAAUAGGAGCCAGUCAUGCAGAAGGAAGGUAACAUCAUGCUGUGAGAUUCCAUUUCUGUUUGCCUUGUUUUCAAGAUGCUUUGUAUAACCCGAGGUGUGGACAAGGACACCGGAGGAGAGUGGAAAUGAAGGUUAAAUAAAAGGAGACAUUUAUUUUCAUGGAUUUUUCAAGGACCUGCAGAUAUUAAUUAGACAAAAAUGAAUUACUAUAGAUCUAGAAUGUAUAAGGAUGCCUCAUCGAUGCCAUUAUCAGAUUUAAUUG